AAAUUGAAGAGUUUGAUCAUGGCUCAGAUUGAACGCUGGCGGCAGGCCUAACACAUGCAAGUCGAACGGUAACAGGAAGCAGCUUGCUGCUUUGCUGACGAGUGGCGGACGGGUGAGUAAUGUCUGGGAAACUGCCCGAUGGAGGGGGAUAACUACUGGAAACGGUAGCUAAUACCGCAUAACGUCGCAAGACCAAAGAGGGGGACCUUCGGGC
rnacentral:rRNA from 1 species